GGACCCGCACAAGCGGUGGAUGAUGUGGAUUAAUUCGAUGCAACGCGAAAAACCUUACCUACCCUUGACAUGGCAGGAAUCCUGGAGAGAUCUGGGAGUGCUCGAAAGAGAACCUGCACACAGGUGCUGCAUGGCUGUCGUCAGCUCGUGUCGUGAGAUGUUGGGUUAAGUCCCGCAACGAGCGCAACCCUUGUCAUUAGUUGCUACGAAAGGGCACUCUAAUGAGACUGCCGGUGACAAACCGGAGGAAGGUGGGGAUGACGUCAAGUCCUCAUGGCCCUUAUGGGUAGGGCUUCACACGUCAUACAAUGGUACAUACAGAGGGCCGCCAACCCGCGAGGGGGAGCUAAUCCCAGAAAGUGUAUCGUAGUCCGGAUUGCAGUCUGCAACUCGACUGCAUGAAGUUGGAAUCGCUAGUAAUCGCGGAUCAGCAUGUCGCGGUGAAUACGUUCCCGGGUCUU
rnacentral:rRNA from 1 species